UCCUGCCCAGUGACAUAGUUCAACGGCCGCGGUAUCCUAACCGUGCAAAGGUAGCAUAAUCACUUGCCCAUUAAUUGUGGGCUAGAAUGAAUGGAUAAACGAAAUAAAAACUGUCUCUAUAAGUUUCAUAAAAAUUAAUCUCUAACUGAAGAGUGUUAGAUAUCAUCGAAGGACAAGAAGACCCUAUAGAGCUUUAUUUUUAACAAGGUUAAUAACUUAUAAUAAAUUCGGUUGGGGCGACCUAGGAUAUAUAGAACAUCCUACACAUUAAAGAUAAAUAAAUCUAAAAAGACCCUUAAUAAAGAGCAAUAAAACAAGCUACCUUAGGGAUAACAGGCUAAUCCUGCUAAAGAGUUCUUAUCAACAGCAGGGGUUGGCACCUCGAUGUUGGCUUAGGGAAACUAUGUGGCGCAAAAGCCACAUAAAGAUGGUUUGUUCAACCAAUAAAACCCUACAUGAGCUGAGUUCAGACCGGCGUAAGCCAGGUUAGUUUCUAUCCUCGACAAAACACCUAUCUAUAGUACGAAAGGACCUAGAUAAGAAUAAUCAUUAUAUAUAAAGAAUAAGUAUAAAAAUCAAAUAAAAUAAUAAAUAGUAUAUACUAUACAGUGAGUUGGCAGAAUAGUGCAAUCGACUUAGGAUCGAUAUAUGGGCUAGCCCACCCACUACCUGCAACUUAGUUUAUUUAGAACAGUCAACUUGCACUUGAUAAGAGAGAUUUCUCAGUAGCGGCUUGACGUUUUGGAAACAAUAGACCUUGAACGUCUAUAAAGGAUGUUCAACUCAUC
rnacentral:rRNA from 1 species